rnacentral:tRNA from 1 species
UCAUGUGUCGCUCAGUUGGUAGAGCAUGGUGCUUUCAUCACCUGGGUCGUGGGUUCAAAUCCCACUGGGGGAC